GCCAGCGUGGCAUAAUGGGUUGAUUGUGGGAUUGUGACUCUGGAGACUUGGGUUCAAAUCCCUGCCUGGCC